rnacentral:lncRNA from 1 species
AGAAGCAGUUAUAUCCCUAAGUCAUAAAGCAGCAGCUGGGCCCAAGAUUCCUGGCAUCCUUCCAAUCUCACCUCCCCCGCCCUAUUUACCCAGGAGCAAAAGAAGCGGAGGGAAGCAACACAGCGCAGCGUGACUACGUGCUUGAUCUGUCUCCUCCUAACGGGCAUGCAGAACCCCAGCUUUUAAGUUGGUCUCCGCAGAGGACAACUGCAUUCUCCAGCCUCCUGUACAGCAGAGAGUGCCAUGUGACUAAGACCAAGUUCUAACCAGUGGGAUCAAAGCAGGGAAGUGUUGCCUUCUUUGCCCCUUCCUGCUGGCUGGAAUAUGACAAAACGGCUGCAGCAUGAGCAACCUUCUUGGGCCCUGAGGUGGAAGCCACCUGUUGGUUGACCGACCAGAUGGUGGAGUGACCAGAUAGAAGGGGCCUGGUGAUUGUGGAUUCUGCCACACUACCUCUGGUCCCCUAUACCUAUGUGAAAGGAAAAGAAAUGUCUGCCAUGUUCGUGUGUGUGUGUGUGUGUGUAGUGUGUGUGUGUGUGUGUGUGUCUGCCAUGUUUAAGCCACUAUAACUUUGGGAUAUCUGUGGCUUAUAGUCAAAUCUAAUCCAAACAAAUGCACCUCUAUGUCCCCCUCACAGAUAAGAAGAUUGAUGCAAGGGAACCCCUGAUGUGGCCAUAACACAAAGAUAGCUUCAACCACCACCGAUACGGAGCUGGACUCCGCCCUUCCUGGCCUCCUGGCCUUUUAUUCCCCGCUAAUUCCUCUGGAUUCCUAAUGACUCCCAUUCCCUGCAUGCACACCAGGUCUUGGAUCCAAUGUCACCUUCUUAAACAGGACUUCCCUAACCUUCACCCCCACCUCCCAAGAAAGCAGGGAUUCUGUCACAUUCCCUGCUGUUUCCCUGGGACAGGUUGGUGUUUAAUAAACAUGUUCAGUGAAUGAAUGAAGGAAUGAGUUAUCUCAGGCAGUCUGUCCAUCAACCAUCUGGUGCUGGCCACUGUGAGGGUCUCUGGACAGCAGCAGUAACCAGCCACCCUACCCUGUUUGGAGGCUGUGGGAUACGAGCAGAGAGCUUUAGAAGGUAUUUACCUGAAAUCUGACAUCCAGCCCCCACCAAAGCCACCAACCGCGCCCCCCCCCCCCCGUCCGCCGCCCCCCACCCAAGCCUUAAGCUCCUGGGUUAAAAAAUCCAACUGUUGGAUUAACUGUGCUGUUAAUACUGAUGCAAAACCAGCCAGCUUCACCGGAAUUCACCAGGACUUGGGUUGCAACCCAUCCCUGCCACUGGAAGGUGGCUUUUCCUUCCUGGGAGCAGGUGUGGGAAAGAAACGGAGGGAGCAUAGGCCUGGGUGGGGACAGUGGCUGUCUAUGGUAGGAACACUCAGGAAACAGCCCUGGGGUGACUGGUAGUGCAGGAAUCCAGGACUUAAACCCUCAGAGAACCUGGAUUCUGGAAGGGGA